UUAUUGGAAAGAGGCAUAGGCUAGCAGGUCAAGAAUGGCCAAAUGAUCAACAUUUGGAACGAUGCUUGGUUGCUAUAUCCUAGUGAAUGGAAGAUUAAAAAUUAGAACUUUAACUAGAGAUUUACACAGGUUUUAGAGUUAAUUGACUAAUACCUUAGCGAUUGGAAGGAAAAUACCUUAAAAAUCUCUUUAAUGAAGAACAAACGACCAAAAUACUAUCAAUACCACUGACAAACAACUCACAGUAGGAUGUGUUCGUAUGGAGGGCGAUAGGUCUGGGAUCUAUACGGCCAAAAGUGGCCACAUAAGGAGCAUUAAAGAUGUGCAACAACAGUUGGGGGAUGAAAAUACAUUAUAGAUAGAAGCCACAAAAACCUUUUAUACAAAAAUGGGGAAUCUAAAAAUCCCCAGCAAAAUUAAGAUUAAUCUAUGGCGAAUUACAAAGAACUAUCUCCCUACUCUCAGUAAUCUAAAACUUAGAAAGCUUCGGUCUAAUACACUCUGUCCAGUCUGUGGGGAAGAGGAAGAGACAGUCGCUCACUUGUUUCGAUACUGUAGCUUCUCAAGACAGGUGUUUCAAGGAGUGGGUUUGGAUGAAUCACCUGUACAUGCGAAUCAAGAAUGGAUAGAGUGGUUAGCUAACAUUUUUAUUACCAAAAGCAUAAAUCACUGUUCAACGUUAGCAAUCACACUGUGGGCAUUACGGUACAACAUAAACAAACUAUAUCAUGAAUGAACAUCAGAAAAAGUGUGUGAGGUUGUGGGUUUCAUUAAAUCCUAUAUCAAGAAUCUCCAUCACAUAAAGGAUUUUUUUCAGAUGUAGCCUUAGCACAGAGUUACAACACUAGAAACCCCCUAACGACAGUCAAGUCGAAGUAAAUUUUGAUGCUUCUUAUCAUUUAUAAGAUUAGCAAGAAAGUAGCAGGAGUAGUUAUAAGAAAUGAAAUGGGAAUUGUUAUGGGUGCAUGCGUUUACCCGAUGAGAAACAUCAAAGACCCAACCACGAUAGAGGCCUACGCGUGUCUACAAGUGGUAGUUUUUGCAGAGGAAAUGGGAUUCAGAGACGUUGAAGUAGAGGGUGACUCAUUGACCGUAAUAAAAAAACUAGGAAGUCAAGAGACAGAUAGAUCAAUCAUCUAAAAUAUUAUAAAUGAAAUCAAACAUAGAACAUAAGGGUUCAGGAAGAUACGUUACCAGCACAUCCCCUACUCGAAAAAUGCAGCAACGCAUGAAUUGGCCAUCUAGGUAUAAAACUAUGAAUCCUCGGUUUACUGGAUUGAUGAGGUCCCAUUGGACAUCGAACUCAUAGUAUCGAUGGACAGGGAAAGGAUUGUUGAAGGAAAAAGGGAUUGGUGACAGUUCAAGACUGAGUCCGGAGAAAUUACGGCCAUUUGGGUUAAUAUUUGAGGAACUGAGACACGAGGAUCUAAAUACAGGGGAAGAAACAUGGAAAUGUACGAGAGGAAAGUAGUAUUUUCACUAGAAAAUUGACGAUGCCUGAAUAGUAGAAGAUGUCAAAAGGGGAGAGUCUUUUAGGAAUUAGGGUUUGUUUUUUCUUCUGUUGUUUGUUUUUGAAUGACUAUUGAGUUGUCUAUUCACAGUAUUUUUAGGGUUUUUCUGCUGAUAUGGGUUAGCUAUUUUCCGAGGCACCGCCCAUGGUUUCCAUUAGGGGUUGGAUAGUUGUUAAAGCGGACAGUGUCGAGUUAUUUGUAACAGAAACCAAAAAUCAAAAAUCAAUUGUAGUUGAUCUAAGUGAUUUUGUAGUUUCG
rnacentral:lncRNA from 1 species